GUCUGGUGUCAAUAGGAACAUGAAUGCAGUUUCUACAGCUCAUGGGAGAGUGAACUCUGUGGACUCAACUGAUGGAAGGGAGAAGUCUGACCUCGCUGGAGAGAAGAGCAAAUGCCAUGUUCCAAGCUUACAGAAUUUGAAUGCCUUCUCAUGGAGGGAUGUGGGAGCAUCCUGUCCUCUACCGAAUGAAAGAUUGUCAUCAGUGCUCACCAGAAGGUGAACAAAGCAAAACCUAUGUCCUCAGCUGGCAGAAGAGUGAAUGUCCUCUCCUGAUCUGACUAAAGGGAGAUUGCAUUGUCCACAUCUGAUGGAAUUGUGAAUUCCAUAUCUUCAUGUGAAGGGUGAACUCCACGUCCUCAGGUGACAGAAGGUGAACAACAUGACAUGUGAUGGAAAGGUCGGCUUCAGGUUCUGACAAAAGGAAAAUCACAAGAAUUGCUGACCAAGUCUCUAGGCCUGUUACAAGAUCCCUGGGGCUCAGGCCUCACCCAACUGCUCAGAGGCACAAGACUCUGUCAAGAGGACAGGUGGAGCUCCCUGCUACUCCAACCUUCAGGAGUCACCCUGGGGCUCAGCUCUUGGCCCCUCGUGAUGGAAACUGCUGAAUCCAAAAUAUUUGGGGUCACAUCAGGGCAGGAGGAAGGCAGUGACAAAGAAGGCUCCCUAGAGUCCUGGCCCUGGCCUCUCUCUGUGCACCUCAAAGACUGUGUCCAUCCUGUGGCUCACAGAUCCACAUCAGCUCAGGGAUAUUCCAGCUCCAUCACAAGUUCCUCUUGUGAAGCUCACAGAACCCUGCAGGCUGGAAACUUCUGUUCCCCAGAGAGUAGCAUCCAGUAAGGAUGUAUCCUCUUCCAUGUCUGUGCCAGGACCCCUGCAACUGGGCCUCAACUUGUGUAGUGUCCACCUGAAGACAGGGCCAAAGUCUUAUCACCUACUGUGGCCCUUGCAGUCGAAGCCAUUCUGGCACAGUGACAGGUAGAAGUGCCAGGCACAUGCUGGGAGAACUUCCCAAGUCUCCCCACUUCCUAGUAGCCUGUGGGCCUCCUCCUCCUCCAUGGUGCAGGUUGUCAUGUUUGCUCCUGGAGCCUGGCAUCCCAUCCACAGCCCAGGCAGCUCAGCAGCAUGAUGCCCCCUGCCUCCAAGCAGGGUGGAGCUCACAGAACACAUCUCAGGAGCACAGUUCCCUGACCCUGAUGGGAUCAACCCAGCUUCAUCUGUUGCUGGAAGACUGGGUCACCAUGAGUCCCCUGCAAGGGUGUGAGCACCAGGACACGGAAUGUCUUGUAGUCCUGGCCUGGCCUGUGCAUGAAUUCAGUGCCACCUGUUCCUGUUGGAGCAGAUUCUGGCUCCCUGGGCUGGCAUGUGCAUGAAAAUACCAGCUCAUUGCCUGGGCAGCCUGUGAGAACAUGGAGCAGCAAGACACUUCACUUUGGCUGCCUCAGAGCCACACAGGGUACUUCUAGCCUCCUUCUCGCCUUGCUAGUUAAAGAACAAUAAAGUGUUUGCUUUAAUAUGUUUUGGUCCAUUCUUGGGGCACACAGAGCCUGAGGUUUGUUCCAUUUUUGGGGCACACAGAGCCUGAGGAACAGUGGUUCCUGGUGGUUCUCCUUUGGGGCGACUGGCACUGCAUCUUCCACCUUCAGUCAGAGGUCCAGGUCCCAAAGAUUUAAUACCUUUGGGGUUACCAACCACACAGGGGCCAGGGCUGUGUUGAGUGGUAACAAAGUCUGAGUGCAUGGACAUUGGGACAGUUCAUGGGAUUCUGAGGAACACACAUGUUAG